UACGGAGGGCGCAAGCGUUGUUAGGAAUCACUGGGCGUAAAGCGAGUGUAGGCGGCUUGGCAAGUCGGGAGUGAAAUCCCGAGGCUCAACCUCGGAACCGCACUCGAAACUGCUUGGCUCGAGUCCCGGAGAGGGAGGCGGAAUUCCCCGUGUAGGGGUGAAAUCCGUAGAUAUCGGGUGGAACACCAGUGGCGAAGGCGGCCACCUGGACGGUGACUGACGCUGAGACGCGAAAGCGUGGGGAGCAAACAGG
rnacentral:rRNA from 1 species